UACGUAGGGGGCAAGCGUUGUCCGGAUUUAUUGGGCGUAAAGCGCGCGUAGGCGGCCCUGUAAGUCCGUUGUGAAAGUCAAAGGCUCAACCUUUGAAAGCCGAUGGAUACUGCAGGGCUAGAGUCCGGAAGAGGCGAGUGGAAUUCCUGGUGUAGCGGUGGAAUGCGCAGAUAUCAGGAGGAACACCGGUGGCGAAGGCGGGUCUCUGGGCCGAUACUGACGCUGAGGAGCGAAAGCGUGGGGAGCGAACAGG
rnacentral:rRNA from 1 species